rnacentral:rRNA from 1 species
CGGGGGAACUGAAACAUCUAAGUACCCCGAGGAAAAGAAAUCAACCGAGAUUCCCCCAGUAGCGGCGAGCGAACGGGGAGCAGCCCAGAGCCUGAAUCAGUAUGUGUGUUAGUGGAAGCGUCUGGAAAGGCGCGCGAUACAGGGUGACAGCCCCGUACACAAAAAUGCACAUGCUGUGAGCUCGAUGAGUAGGGCGGGACACGUGGUAUCCUGUCUGAAUAUGGGGGGACCAUCCUCCAAGGCUAAAUACUCCUGACUGACCGAUAGUGAACCAGUACCGUGAGGGAAAGGCGAAAAGAACCCCGGCGAGGGGAGUGAAAAAGAACCUGAAACCGUGUACGUACAAGCAGUGGGAGCACGCUUAGGCGUGUGACUGCGUACCUUUUGUAUAAUGGGUCAGCGACUUAUAUUCUGUAGCAAGGUUAACCGAAUAGGGGAGCCGAAGGGAAACCGAGUCUUAACUGGGCGUUAAGUUGCAGGGUAUAGACCCGAAACCCGGUGAUCUAGCCAUGGGCAGGUUGAAGGUUGGGUAACACUAACUGGAGGACCGAACCGACUAAUGUUGAAAAAUUAGCGGAUGACUUGUGGCUGGGGGUGAAAGGCCAAUCAAACCGGGAGAUAGCUGGUUCUCCCCGAAAGCUAUUUAGGUAGCGCCUCGUGAAUUCAUCUCCGGGGGUAGAGCACUGUUUCGGCAAGGGGGUCAUCCCGACUUACCAACCCGAUGCAAACUGCGAAUACCGGAGAAUGUUAUCACGGGAGACACACGGCGGGUGCUAACGUCCGUCGUGAAGAGGGAAACAACCCAGACCGCCAGCUAAGGUCCCAAAGUCAUGGUUAAGUGGGAAACGAUGUGGGAAGGCCCAGACAGCCAGGAUGUUGGCUUAGAAGCAGCCAUCAUUUAAAGAAAGCGUAAUAGCUCACUGGUCGAGUCGGCCUGCGCGGAAGAUGUAACGGGGCUAAACCAUGCACCGAAGCUGCGGCAGCGACACUAUGUGUUGUUGGGUAGGGGAGCGUUCUGUAAGCCUGUGAAGGUGUGCUGUGAGGCAUGCUGGAGGUAUCAGAAGUGCGAAUGCUGACAUAAGUAACGAUAAAGCGGGUGAAAAGCCCGCUCGCCGGAAGACCAAGGGUUCCUGUCCAACGUUAAUCGGGGCAGGGUGAGUCGACCCCUAAGGCGAGGCCGAAAGGCGUAGUCGAUGGGAAACAGGUUAAUAUUCCUGUACUUGGUGUUACUGCGAAGGGGGGACGGAGAAGGCUAUGUUGGCCGGGCGACGGUUGUCCCGGUUUAAGCGUGUAGGCUGGUUUUCCAGGCAAAUCCGGAAAAUCAAGGCUGAGGCGUGAUGACGAGGCACUACGGUGCUGAAGCAACAAAUGCCCUGCUUCCAGGAAAAGCCUCUAAGCAUCAGGUAACAUCAAAUCGUACCCCAAACCGACACAGGUGGUCAGGUAGAGAAUACCAAGGCGCUUGAGAGAACUCGGGUGAAGGAACUAGGCAAAAUGGUGCCGUAACUUCGGGAGAAGGCACGCUGAUAUGUAGGUGAAGUCCCUCGCGGAUGGAGCUGAAAUCAGUCGAAGAUACCAGCUGGCUGCAACUGUUUAUUAAAAACACAGCACUGUGCAAACACGAAAGUGGACGUAUACGGUGUGACGCCUGCCCGGUGCCGGAAGGUUAAUUGAUGGGGUUAGCCGCAAGGCGAAGCUCUUGAUCGAAGCCCCGGUAAACGGCGGCCGUAACUAUAACGGUCCUAAGGUAGCGAAAUUCCUUGUCGGGUAAGUUCCGACCUGCACGAAUGGCGUAAUGAUGGCCAGGCUGUCUCCACCCGAGACUCAGUGAAAUUGAACUCGCUGUGAAGAUGCAGUGUACCCGCGGCAAGACGGAAAGACCCCGUGAACCUUUACUAUAGCUUGACACUGAACAUUGAGCCUUGAUGUGUAGGAUAGGUGGGAGGCUUUGAAGUGUGGACGCCAGUCUGCAUGGAGCCGACCUUGAAAUACCACCCUUUAAUGUUUGAUGUUCUAACGUUGACCCGUAAUCCGGGUUGCGGACAGUGUCUGGUGGGUAGUUUGACUGGGGCGGUCUCCUCCUAAAGAGUAACGGAGGAGCACGAAGGUUGGCUAAUCCUGGUCGGACAUCAGGAGGUUAGUGCAAUGGCAUAAGCCAGCUUGACUGCGAGCGUGACGGCGCGAGCAGGUGCGAAAGCAGGUCAUAGUGAUCCGGUGGUUCUGAAUGGAAGGGCCAUCGCUCAACGGAUAAAAGGUACUCCGGGGAUAACAGGCUGAUACCGCCCAAGAGUUCAUAUCGACGGCGGUGUUUGGCACCUCGAUGUCGGCUCAUCACAUCCUGGGGCUGAAGUAGGUCCCAAGGGUAUGGCUGUUCGCCAUUUAAAGUGGUACGCGAGCUGGGUUUAGAACGUCGUGAGACAGUUCGGUCCCUAUCUGCCGUUGGCGCUGGAGAACUGAGGGGGGCUGCUCCUAGUACGAGAGGACCGGAGUGGACGCAUCACUGGUGUUCGGGUUGUCAUGCCAAUGGCACUGCCCGGUAGCUAAAUGCGGAAGAGAUAAGUGCUGAAAGCAUCUAAGCACGAAACUUGCCCCGAGAUGAGUUCUCCCUGACUCCUUGAGAGUCCUGAAGGAACGUUGAAGACGACGACGUUGAUAGGCCGGGUGUGUAAGCGCAGCGAUGCGUUGAGCUAACCGGUACUAAUGAACCGUGAGGCUUAACCU